GAGUUUGAUCAUGGCUCAGAAUGAACGCUGGCGGCGUGCCUAACACAUGCAAGUCGAGCGAGAAAUCACACUUCGGUGUGAGAGUAGAGCGGCGCACGGGUGAGUAACGCGUGGAUAAUCUACCCAUGGAUUGGGGAUAACCCUGCGAAAGCGGGGCUAAUACCUGAUAGUCUGGUCAUUAUAUAGAUGAUCGGUAAAGGUGGCCUCUGAUACAAGCUACUGUCCGUGGAUGAGUCCGCGUCUCAUUAGCUGGUUGGUGGGGUAAUGGCCUACCAAGGCGACGAUGAGUAGCUGGUCUGAGAGGAUGAUCAGCCACACUGGGACUGGAACACGGCCCAGACUCCUACGGGAGGCAGCAGUGGGGAAUAUUGGGCAAUGGGCGCAAGCCUGACCCAGCAACGCCGUGUGAGGGAAGAAGGUUUUCGGAUCGUAAACCUCUGUCAGAAGGGAAGAAGUGGCAGAUAUUUAAUAUAUAUUUGCUUUGACGGUACCUUCAUAGGAAGCACCGGCUAACUCCGUGCCAGCAGCCGCGGUAAUACGGAGGGUGCAAGCGUUAUUCGGAAUCCCUGGGCGUAAAGCGCGCGUAUGUUUGCGUGCUC
rnacentral:rRNA from 1 species